rnacentral:rRNA from 1 species
GACGAACGCUGGCGGCGUGCUUAACACAUGCAAGUCGAGCGAUGAAGUUCCUUCGGGAAUGAAUUAGCGGCGGACGGGUGAGUAACACGUGGGUAACCUGCCUCAUAGAGGGGAAUAGCCUUUCGAAAGGAAGAUUAAUACCGCAUAAGAUUGUAGUAUCGCAUGAUACAGCAAUUAAAGGAGUAAUCCGCUAUGAGAUGGACCCGCGUCGCAUUAGCUAGUUGGUGAGGUAACGGCUCACCAAGGCGACGAUGCGUAGCCGACCUGAGAGGGUGAUCCGCCACAUGGGGACUGGGACACGGGCCAGACUCCUACGGGAGGCAGCAGUGGGGAAUAUUGCACAAUGGGGGAAACCCUGAUGCAGCAACGCCGCGUGAGUGAUGACGGUCUUCGGAUUGUAAAACUCUGUCUUCAGGGACGAUAAUGACGGUACCUGAGGAGGAAGCCACGGCUAACUACGUGCCAGCCGCCGCGGUAA